CCCAGACUUACCCAUGGCUGCAUCCCACACUGACUCAAGAGGCACAUGAACUAGUAAGAAACAAGAGCCGGAGAUCAUAAGAGCUCUCCCCAUGCAACGCAGAAGAGCAGCAGGGCUUAGUCACGACAACAGAAAGAUGCCUGCUGCCCACGUGAACCACUGUCAGCGUGAUGCGGUUCAGACACACGAGGAGCUCUCCACACUGGAUUUCAUCCGUUCCCAGGGCAGUGUGGCGUGGGGGAGAGAAGGCAGGGUUUAGAAUCAGAUUUCAACUCUCAGUCCUGGCUCUUACGCUUACUAGCUCCCCACCUUCUAGCUGUGUGCCAGUGAGAAAACUAACCUCUUGGAGUCUGUUUCUUCAUCAAAAAAUGAGACAUAAUCGGAGUUUCAGGGAAGGUCUGAUGUGAGGAUGAGAGACACAGAGUAGGUGCCCCAAUUAUGGCUAUUGUUACGGGUAGGAGGCUCAGAGCAACAAUGAAUUCAGUUUGAUAUGGGAAGACAAUAGGAGGGAUGUGGCUUUGGUCGGGCAUGGCCUAUGACUAAUGGUCCCAAAAUAACAAGUAAAGCUGCAGUGAUUAUCUGUCAUUCUCCACCUCUGUCCCCACAGGCCUGUCACCUUACACUUUAAGAUUAAACAUUUAUUUUUCGAAUGUGGCCCAGUCUAGGGGUUGGAUGCGUGAUCGGGAAAUACCGCAAAGCUAUGCAGCCUGCAAGGGGACUGAAUCGGAGGUCUGGGUUAUCAUCUGUAAGGUGUCCCACAGAAGUGAGCCAACCAUAGCCACGAGGAACAUGCAGUACAGGGAGUUCUCCUGGUUCCCACGGUCAACAGAGACCAAAUGUCUGUCUCAUUUGGACCCACGGGAUUUUAAUUUACAAAAACAUCUCUGCAGAUCGGCAGAAGUCAGGAGAAAUGAGAGAGUCAUUUUCAGGACUCAUUUCUGUGUAUGGGAUCAGUCUGCCAUCCAUCACCAGUGCAGUCAGCAGACUUCUGACAAAAUCAGUGAACCAUCAACUGGACUAAAAACGCUUUAUGGUUAA
rnacentral:lncRNA from 1 species